CCUACGGGUGGCAGCAGUGAGGAAUAUUGGUCAAUGGCCGGAAGGCUGAACCAGCCAUGCCGCGUGAAGGUCAGUGCCCUAUGGGCGUUAAACUUCUUUUGUGCGGGAGCAAUAAUGGUCACGUGUGGCCAGACGAGAGUACCGUACGAAUAAGCAUCGGCUAACUCCGUGCCAGCAGCCGCGGGAAUACGGGGGAUGCAAGCGUUAUCCGGGUUUAUUGGGUUUAAAGGGUGCGUAGGCUGGGAGGUAAGUCAGCGGUGAAAUGCCUCCGCUCAAAGGGGUGAAGUGCAAUUGAUACUGGCUGGCUGGAAUGCGGAUGCGGUGGGAGGAAUGUGUGGUGUAGCGGUGAAAUGCAUAGAUAUCACACAGAACACCGAUUGCGAAGGCAUCUCACGAAUCCGCGAUUGACGCUGAUGCACGAAAGCGUGGGUAUCAAACAGGAUUAGAUACCCGGGUAGUC
rnacentral:rRNA from 1 species